UACGUAGGGUGCAAGCGUUAAUCGGAAUUACUGGGCGUAAAGCGUGCGCAGGCGGUGAUGUAAGACAGAUGUGAAAUCCCCGGGCUCAACCUGGGAACUGCAUUUGUGACUGCAUCGCUGGAGUGCGGCAGAGGGGGGUGGAAUUCCGCGUGUAGCAGUGAAAUGCGUAGAUAUGCGGAGGAACACCGAUGGCGAAGGCAAUCCCCUGGGACUGCACUGACGCUCAUGCACGAAAGCGUGGGGAGCAAACAGG
rnacentral:rRNA from 1 species